rnacentral:lncRNA from 1 species
GUCAUAUAAUGAACUGCAGCUUGAUUUUUGUCUUUUACAAAUUGGACAAAUUUGAGAAUCAAAUUCUCUUUCCAUGAUGCGAUACUUUAAUAAAUAAAAACGUUUUUAGGUCCGUCAGUCUUGAUGAUCGCUGCCUUUUGCGUCAUCGCCUUCCAGCCAAUGACACGGCGAAUUCCAGAGCCGAGACACCCAAGAUGUAAAUCUUACAAACAUGGCGACGCUCCGGAGAGAGUACGGAGCAUUGCAAUGAGACUGCUUUCAGCGGAAAGAAUUGCCUCAACUUGGCUUGUUACAAUGUGGUGGAGUUAGCCAGAGCCACCGCGUGCACAGCCAUUAGAUCAUGUUAGCUGAGACGUGCCUACAGCGCCUCCUCCCCAACCGUUUCGUUCCCGUUUCAAUGGAUCCACAACCAAUGGGGGGGCCCCCAAGAGGUACUGUUCAGCACUGUUUAAUGGGUCUAUUUUUACAAUGGAAACCCCUUAAAAUACCGGACCGGACCUUACCAGACCAGUCAGUGGAAACCAGGCUUUUGUUUUUCUUGUCUGAGCGGGCAUCUAGCGGAAAACUGUAUGGCUGAUUAGCUUCAGUAUUUCUUGCCCUUUUUAUUGCACUGGUACAGUUAGGUUGGGGUUGUGAGGGGCUGUAAGCUAGAGGGGGAAACUGUAAAAAAAAGGGAUGAUGGAAAGUGGCGCUUAUGCCACGCCAAAAGUCUGUAACCCCCCUCCCCCCACCCCCAACCCCACACACACACAAUUCAGAGGAAAAUUUCUAAUGAAUUCCUGUUGCUAUGCUGUAACUAUGUCCUAGAACAGUAUUUUUCAAUGAGUAUGGUAGUAGUUCUCUGGACA